GGUCACUGCCUGGAAUUGAACUCGGAAUCUUGGGAUAAAUUUUUAACAACAAAAUCUUGUAUGGAGCCCCAAAGGUCAUAGCAGCUCCAACUGAGUUAAAGUGGGUUAAAGUAUGACAGGGGAUAGGAACAGAUGUCUUGCAGUAAAGGAGACAGAUGGUUUUCCCCAGUUGUAAAAGGGAGAAGAUAGUGAUGUUUGAGCAUACCUUCAAGUUACAGGAAGGUGAACAUAAGAGAAGUGAUGAAAAGGACUGGCUUAGAAUUGCGUUUGAAGAAGGAAAAUGAUCAAAAAUGGAACUAACCAUAUUUCAUGAAUUAUUCUGAAACCAUUCCACACAAAAUUUUGUCCUUUGAA
rnacentral:lncRNA from 1 species